rnacentral:lncRNA from 1 species
CUCUCUUUAUUAGCCUCUCCAUUUAAUCCAUCCAUCCAACCCAUCGCCUUCCCUCCCGGAUCACCUGCGUGUAUAUAUAUAUAUAUAUAUAUAUAAGCUUUACCUUGCAUUCCAAGCUUCGAUCGAUCCAUCGAUCGAUUGAUCAAAUCUUGUGUGAUAUAGCACUAGUUUGAUGCGUGCGAGAUGGCCGGGAUAGCUCGACGACGAGGAGGAGGAGAUCAAGGUGGUGUUGCUGCUGCUGCCGGCGGCGACGGCGAGGCGGCGGCGUCCGGGUUCUCCCGCGGCGAUUCGUCGGCGACGACGACGCUGCGGUCGCCGGCGUCGUCGAGCCUGACCGACGAUGGCGGCGAGGUGACGUCGUGGACGUCGGCUGACGGUGGUGGUGGUGGUGACUACUGCUCGUUUUCGUGUUCGUCGGAGUCGGAGUUGGAGUUGGAGUCAGACGACGACGACGACGAGGAGGAGGAGGAGAUGAUGCAGCUGGAUGGUGGCGGGCACGCCGCCGGCGGGCCGCUCUACGAGCUGGCGGCGCCGCUGCUGGCGCAGCUUCCUCUCAGGACAGGGCUAUCCAAGUACUACCAAGGGAAGUCCCAAUCCUUCACAUCGCUCUGCAACGCCAGGUGCGUCCAAGACCUUGCAAAGAAGACAACCCCUUACAUCACCAGGAUGAAGCUGCAGCUGCGCAGAGGCCAUGGAGUCGUGGAUCGGUUGUCGAAUUCGCGUCGCGCUCCAGGGCCCUGCAGCAAGACGAUGGCGAAGAAGGCGACGAGGUGCUCGUCCGAUCGAUUGCUGUCAAGAGCAAGGGAGCACAAGCCUCUUCACAGCAGCAGCAGCACACCUGCACAACAGAGCAAGAAAGAGCUGUCAAGAUGCUAGUUGAAAGGCAGUACAGGGGUACUGAAAAAAAAAUGGAGAUGAGGUUUUUCAACAAAAUGAACUCUUCAGCAAUCAGCACUCAGCUGCACUGGAGCUAGAAAUAUAGAAUGUCUCCAGGUCUCCUCCAAACGAUGCUUUCAGAAGGAAGUUUUGCUCAGUUUUCUUUUCUUCUGUGGAUCAUUGUGUCAUUUUACUUGAUAAAAUGGCUGAGCCGAUGUUAGAUACAUCAUGAUCAAGCCAACAUAAUCUGGAGACAUUUCAUCAAGUUUGUACAUAGAUGCAAUAUUCAUAAGAUAUAUUAUUUUGUCUAAUACAUAAUUAUUUUGACUUUGGGCAAAGGAUACAUUACAAAGCCAUCAUUGGGCAUGGUCCCAAACCCCACUAGGGGUUCAACAUGUCUAGAGAUAAAUCCUCGGCAAUUAUGUCCAAAGAAUGAUUCUUGAAUUCAUUACGAACUUAAAAGAAAGAGUAAAGGAGGUUCCAAGCGACAUGACAGAUUUUCUCCACUUUUCACUAAUAAAUUCAACUGAUGAAAUACAUUGGGUUUGGAAGUUUGAAGGAUCUCGUAGCCAUUGGCAAUCCCAAUAAAUCACUCCACUGAUCCCCAGAAUUUCCAAGUAUCUUGAAUCCCUCAGCUUCCAGUGCUGCUCGUCUUUCUGACUUGUACUGCACGGCUGUCUUGCCAAUAUCAGGGGAUUGCCU